AAAAGGAUAUGCAACUUAACUUACCAUGCCAAAGAAGCUCCAUAAGAGUUCAAAAAUAAUACUCACUUAAAACAAUGAGUACAUUCUAAUCCAACAAAUACUAAAACAGAAUAGUGCCAGCAUUAUGACUUGGCACGUUAACCUUUAGGACAUCUACAAUAUCAUAUAAUUUCCAAUAGGUCACUAUAGAAUUUAGGGGCUCAUAAACAAUUAGCCUAAUCUUUUUCUUUCAUCUUGGCCUAUAAAUAUU
rnacentral:lncRNA from 1 species